UACGAAGGGGGCUAGCGUUGCUCGGAAUCACUGGGCGUAAAGGGUGCGUAGGCGGGUCUUUAAGUCAGGGGUGAAAUCCUGGAGCUCAACUCCAGGACUGCCUUUGAUACUGAGGAUCUUGAGUUCGGGAGAGGUGAGUGGAACUGCGAGUGUAGAGGUGAAAUUCGUAGAUAUUCGCAAGAACACCAGUGGCGAAGGCGGCUCACUGGCCCGGU
rnacentral:rRNA from 1 species